UGUCUGGCCAGGCUGGGGACGAGGACAGGAAGGAGAAGGAUCCAAUCAGUGAUUUCCUCAGUGUGGCUCGUAUUGAAGCCUCUGGGUCAGGACCGGACACCUCUACUACUGAUGGCCCUACAACGGAUCCUACUGUAGAGCCGGACACGGAGCAGAAAGACGAGAAGGACGAGGAGGAGGAGGAAGAGGAGAGCAGGCCGUCUAUGGAUCUGUUCAAAGCCAUCUUCGCCUGUUCAUCAGACGAGAAGUCUUCCUCUUCUUCAGAAGGAGAGAGUGAGGAGGAGGAGGAGGAGGAAGGUGUUCGGAGCAAGGCUGGGACCGGGCCUCAGAUAUCUAACCAGCUGAACGUCAACACAACCCGACCUGCUCUUCCUGUGUCGGCGACACCCAGCCAGCACCCAGACGUUCUGUUCAAAACGCCCAGUGGUCCUGCCCCUCCCCUCAGAACCAGGAAGUGGAAGAGGAGGAGUUUGGACCUCGGCUGCCUCCUCCUUCCUCUACAUUGACGGGGCGCCGUCCGUCCCCAACUCCCUCUGCUAAGGACGACAAACACAAGAAGAAGUGUAAGGAGAAGCACAAAGCCAAGAAACACGGCAAGCACAAGAAGGACAAAAAGAAGAAGAAGCACAAGAGGCACAAGCACAAAGGCAAGCAGAAGAAGAGCAGUAGGAAGGAGUCUUCAUCAUCAGGCAGCAGCUCAGAGGGGAGUGACGGGAACGGCCAGGAGGACGGAGAGGAGGGAGGAGGGGUGUCAACAGAAGAGCUGCUCAGAAGGUUGAAGAGCAUCCGUGGGAAGAAUCAGCAGUGAAUCUAUAAUCCGACAGACAGGAUCCAUCAUGUCCUCUAUGAGGAUGGAUACCUGGAUACCUGGAGACGGGAGUCAGGAACCAUUCUGUAUAUGGCAUUUAGGAAUUCCAAUAGCCCUGUACCGAUGCUGAUGAAAGAGGGGCUUACUUUACAUUUUAAAUUGUAAUUCUCAUAAGAUGUGAGUUUUUGCUGAUCAAUGUCUUGGGCUGAUAUGUUGAGAGAUAUUGAUUUGUUGCUAUCGUCUGUUAAUCAAUAAAAAAGUAGAUUUUUUUUGUUGUAAUCUGUCUCUGCAUUAUCAUCAUGCCAUUCCAGAUUGUCUGUGAUGUGCCACGUCUGGUGACAAGGCUCUGGAGUUGUUACGAUCC
rnacentral:lncRNA from 1 species